AUGUGCCACUCGUACACUCCGGUUCUGAGCGCGCUGUCUGCAUGCCCCCGGCAACUGCUCGCUACAUUUUGCUAGCU
rnacentral:sRNA from 2 species